rnacentral:rRNA from 1 species
GACAGAGGGUGCAAACGUUGUCCGGAAUUAUUGGGCGUAAAGCGCGCGCAGGCGGUUCUUUAAGUCUUAUGUGAAAGCCCACGGCUCAACCGUGGAGGGUCAUUGGAAACUGGGGGACUUGAGUGCAGGAGAGAAGAGUGGAAUUCCACGUGUAGCGGUGAAAUGCGUAGAGAUGUGGAGGAACACCAGUGGCGAAGGCGACUCUUUGGCCUGUAACUGACGCUGAGGCGCGAAAGCGUGGGGAGCAAACAGG